rnacentral:sRNA from 1 species
GUGGAUGUAGACACAAUGGUGCAGCAGC